AACCCAGUUGCAUUAUGAAUGUGUUUGCACCUGUGAGGUUAGACCGAGUACGUGAAGUGGUUCCAUUUUAUUUCCCAUUAAAUUAAGUUGUUUUGAUUCUCACAUCCUCAGCGAAUCUGCUCUUUAUUUUAUCGUCAUCUGUUCUAUAAAACAAUCUGUUCUGCUGCCCUCGCGACCCGACCCUGGAUUAAGCGGAUGAGAAUAAAUGGAUGGAUGCUCUUUAAAAAAAAAAAAAUUAUAAAAAACGUUUUACCCUUUUUGCAGGAACUGUACAGUGAGCAACGCGAAGGAGAAGCAGAGAGAGUGCAGUGCGGCCCAGUGGGAGGGCAACUGGACGCUGGUGGCCGUGAAUCCUCUCGGCCGCCACGUGCUCACUGACUCUGCCGAGCUCAGCCACAGAGUGUUCCCAGUAGCGCCAGAGAACCUGAACUCGGCGGUCCGUGCCUGGAACGCCACUCUGCGGUGGCGGUGGAAGUACGGCAGCUAUUCCUCUGUGGCUCUUGUCUGCCAGGUCGAGCUCACCUCGCAAGGGUACAAAACAAAGCGUACCUUCUCCGGUCUGGGCCUGCGGUCGGUGUUCCUGUCGGACCUGAACCCG